rnacentral:rRNA from 1 species
ACGAACGCUGGCGGCGUGCUUAACACAUGCAAGUCGAACGAUGAACUUGGAGCUUGCUCUGGGGGAUUAGUGGCGAACGGGUGAGUAACACGUGAGUAACCUGCCCUGGACUCUGGGAUAACCCCGAGAAAUCGGAGCUAAUACCGGAUAGGACCUGGAACCGCAUGGUUUUGGGUGGAAAGUUUUUUCGGUCUGGGAUGGACUCGCGGCCUAUCAGCUUGUUGGUGAGGUAAUGGCUCACCAAGGCGUCGACGGGUAGCCGGCCUGAGAGGGUGACCGGCCACACUGGGACUGAGACACGGCCCAGACUCCUACGGGAGGCAGCAGUGGGGAAUAUUGCACAAUGGGCGAAAGCCUGAUGCAGCAACGCCGCGUGAGGGAUGACGGCCUUCGGGUUGUAAACCUCUUUUAGUAAGGAAGAAGGGGAGCUUGCUCCUUGACGGUACUUGCAGAAAAAGGACCGGCUAACUACGU